rnacentral:rRNA from 1 species
UACGUAGGGCGCAAGCGUUGUCCGGAAUUAUUGGGCGUAAAGAGCUCGUAGGCGGUUUGUCGCGUCUGCUGUGAAAACGCGAGGCUUAACCUCGCGCCUGCAGUGGGUACGGGCAGACUAGAGUGCGGUAGGGGGAGACUGGAAUUCCUGGUGUAGCGGUGGAAUGCGCAGAUAUCAGGAGGAACACCGGUGGCGAAGGCGAGUCUCUGGGCAGUAACUGACGCUGAGGAGCGAAAGCGUGGGGGAGCGAACAGG